GAUGAACGCUGGCGGCGUGCCUAAUACAUGCAAGUCGAGCGGCAGCACGGUCUUCGGACUGGUGGCGAGCGGCGGACGGCAGAGUAACGCGUAGGAAUAUACCCCAAAGUGAGGGAUAAGCUCCAGAAAUGGAGUCUAAUACCGCAUAUGGUCUUCGGAUUAAAGCCUUCGGGCGCUAUGGGAAUAGCCUGCGUUCGAUUAGCUAGUUGGUGAGGUAAUGGCUCACCAAGGCGACGAUCGAUAGCUGGUCUGAGAGGAUGAUCAGCCUGACUGGAACUGAGAUACGGUCCAGACUCCUACGGGAGGCAGCAGUAGGGAAUUUUCCACAAUGGGCGAAAGCCUGAUGGAGCAACGCCGCGUGCAGGAUGAAGGCCUUCGGGUCGUAAACUGCUUUAUGUGCGAAGAAUAUGACGGUAACACAUGAAUAAGGGUACGGCGUAACUACGUG
rnacentral:rRNA from 1 species